GGGUUGUGAGGUUAAGCGACUAAGCGUACACGGUGGAUGCCCUGGCAGUCAGAGGCGAUGAAGGACGUGCUAAUCUGCGAUAAGCGUCGGUAAGGUGAUAUGAACCGUUAUAACCGGCGAUUUCCGAAUGGGGAAACCCAGUGUGAUUCGUCACACUAUCAUUAACUGAAUCCAUAGGUUAAUGAGGCGAACCGGGGGAACUGAAACAUCUAAGUACCCCGAGGAAAAGAAAUCAACCGAGAUUCCCCCAGUAGCGGCGAGCGAACGGGGAGCAGCCCAGAGCCUGAAUCAGUGUGUGUGUUAGUGGAAGCGUCUGGAAAGGCGCGCGAUACAGGGUGACAGCCCCGUACACAAAAAUGCACAUGCUGUGAGCUCGAUGAGUAGGGCGGGACACGUGGUAUCCUGUCUGAAUAUGGGGGGACCAUCCUCCAAGGCUAAAUACUCCUGACUGACCGAUAGUGAACCAGUACCGUGAGGGAAAGGCGAAAAGAACCCCGGCGAGGGGAGUGAAAAAGAACCUGAAACCGUGUACGUACAAGCAGUGGGAGCACGCUUAGGCGUGUGACUGCGUACCUUUUGUAUAAUGGGUCAGCGACUUAUAUUCUGUAGCAAGGUUAACCGAAUAGGGGAGCCGAAGGGAAACCGAGUCUUAACUGGGCGUUAAGUUGCAGGGUAUAGACCCGAAACCCGGUGAUCUAGCCAUGGGCAGGUUGAAGGUUGGGUAACACUAACUGGAGGACCGAACCGACUAAUGUUGAAAAAUUAGCGGAUGACUUGUGGCUGGGGGUGAAAGGCCAAUCAAACCGGGAGAUAGCUGGUUCUCCCCGAAAGCUAUUUAGGUAGCGCCUCGUGAAUUCAUCUCCGGGGGUAGAGCACUGUUUCGGCAAGGGGGUCAUCCCGACUUACCAACCCGAUGCAAACUGCGAAUACCGGAGAAUGUUAUCACGGGAGACACACGGCGGGUGCUAACGUCCGUCGUGAAGAGGGAAACAACCCAGACCGCCAGCUAAGGUCCCAAAGUCAUGGUUAAGUGGGAAACGAUGUGGGAAGGCCCAGACAGCCAGGAUGUUGGCUUAGAAGCAGCCAUCAUUUAAAGAAAGCGUAAUAGCUCACUGGUCGAGUCGGCCUGCGCGGAAGAUGUAACGGGGCUAAACCAUGCACCGAAGCUGCGGCAGCGACGCUGAUGCGUUGUUGGGUAGGGGAGCGUUCUGUAAGCCUGCGAAGGUGUGCUGUGAGGCAUGCUGGAGGUAUCAGAAGUGCGAAUGCUGACAUAAGUAACGAUAAAGCGGGUGAAAAGCCCGCUCGCCGGAAGACCAAGGGUUCCUGUCCAACGUUAAUCGGGGCAGGGUGAGUCGACCCCUAAGGCGAGGCCGAAAGGCGUAGUCGAUGGGAAACAGGUUAAUAUUCCUGUACUUGGUGUUACUGCGAAGGGGGGACGGAGAAGGCUAUGUUGGCCGGGCGACGGUUGUCCCGGUUUAAGCGUGUAGGCUGGUUUUCCAGGCAAAUCCGGAAAAUCAAGGCUGAGGCGUGAUGACGAGGCACUACGGUGCUGAAGCAACAAAUGCCCUGCUUCCAGGAAAAGCCUCUAAGCAUCAGGUAACAUCAAAUCGUACCCCAAACCGACACAGGUGGUCAGGUAGAGAAUACCAAGGCGCUUGAGAGAACUCGGGUGAAGGAACUAGGCAAAAUGGUGCCGUAACUUCGGGAGAAGGCACGCUGAUAUGUAGGUGAAGUCCCUCGCGGAUGGAGCUGAAAUCAGUCGAAGAUACCAGCUGGCUGCAACUGUUUAUUAAAAACACAGCACUGUGCAAACACGAAAGUGGACGUAUACGGUGUGACGCCUGCCCGGUGCCGGAAGGUUAAUUGAUGGGGUUAGCGCAAGCGAAGCUCUUGAUCGAAGCCCCGGUAAACGGCGGCCGUAACUAUAACGGUCCUAAGGUAGCGAAAUUCCUUGUCGGGUAAGUUCCGACCUGCACGAAUGGCGUAAUGAUGGCCAGGCUGUCUCCACCCGAGACUCAGUGAAAUUGAACUCGCUGUGAAGAUGCAGUGUACCCGCGGCAAGACGGAAAGACCCCGUGAACCUUUACUAUAGCUUGACACUGAACAUUGAGCCUUGAUGUGUAGGAUAGGUGGGAGGCUUUGAAGUGUGGACGCCAGUCUGCAUGGAGCCGACCUUGAAAUACCACCCUUUAAUGUUUGAUGUUCUAACGUGGACCCGUAAUCCGGGUUGCGGACAGUGUCUGGUGGGUAGUUUGACUGGGGCGGUCUCCUCCUAAAGAGUAACGGAGGAGCACGAAGGUUGGCUAAUCCUGGUCGGACAUCAGGAGGUUAGUGCAAUGGCAUAAGCCAGCUUGACUGCGAGCGUGACGGCGCGAGCAGGUGCGAAAGCAGGUCAUAGUGAUCCGGUGGUUCUGAAUGGAAGGGCCAUCGCUCAACGGAUAAAAGGUACUCCGGGGAUAACAGGCUGAUACCGCCCAAGAGUUCAUAUCGACGGCGGUGUUUGGCACCUCGAUGUCGGCUCAUCACAUCCUGGGGCUGAAGUAGGUCCCAAGGGUAUGGCUGUUCGCCAUUUAAAGUGGUACGCGAGCUGGGUUUAGAACGUCGUGAGACAGUUCGGUCCCUAUCUGCCGUGGGCGCUGGAGAAUUGAGGGGGGCUGCUCCUAGUACGAGAGGACCGGAGUGGACGCAUCACUGGUGUUCGGGUUGUCAUGCCAAUGGCACUGCCCGGUAGCUAAAUGCGGAAGAGAUAAGUGCUGAAAGCAUCUAAGCACGAAACUUGCCCCGAGAUGAGUUCUCCCUGACUCCUUGAGAGUCCUGAAGGAACGUUGAAGACGACGACGUUGAUAGGCCGGGUGUGUAAGCG
rnacentral:rRNA from 1 species